AUUGAACGCUGGCGGCAUGCCUUACACAUGCCAGUCGAACGGCAGCACGGUUGCUUGCACCUGUUGGCGAGUGGCGAACGGGUGAGUAAUACAUCGGAACAUGUCCUGUCGUGGGGGAUAGCCCGGCGGAAGCCGGAUUAAUACCGCAUACGAACUACGGCUGAAAGCGGGGGACCUUCAGCCUUCGCGCUUUAGGGUUGGCCGAUGGCGGAUUCGCUAGUUGGUGGGGUAAAGGCCUACCAAGGCGACGAUCAGUAGCUGGUCUGAGAGGAUGACCAGCCACACUGGGACUGAGACACGGCCCAGACUCCUACGGGAGGCAGCAGUGGGGAAUUUUGGACAAUGGGCGAAAGCCUGAUCCAGCAAUGCCGCGUGUGUGAAGAAGGCCUUCGGGUUGUAAAGCACUUUUGUCCGGAAAGAAAAGCUGGGGCCUAAUACGGUGGGGGGAUGACGGUACCGGAAGAAUAAGCACCGGCUAACUACGUG
rnacentral:rRNA from 1 species